GCAAGUCGAGGGGUAGCAGGGAGCUUCGGUUCCGCUGACGACCGGCGCACGGGUGAGUAACGCGUAUGAAAUCUGCCUUUUACCGGGGGAUAGCCCAGGGAAACAUGGAUUAAUACCCCAUAGAAUUUAUAAUCCGCAUGGUCAAUAAAUUAAAACUCCGGUGGUAAAGGAUGAUCAUGCGUAGCAUUAGUUAGUUGGUAAGGUAACGGCUUACCAAGACGAUGAUGCGUAGGGGUUCUGAGAGGACAAUC
rnacentral:rRNA from 1 species